rnacentral:rRNA from 1 species
UACGUAGGGUGCGAGCGUUAAUCGGAAUUACUGGGCGUAAAGCGUGCGCAGGCGGCUUUGCAAGACAGAUGUGAAAUCCCCGGGCUCAACCUGGGAACUGCAUUUGUGACUGCAAGGCUAGAGUACGGCAGAGGGGGAUGGAAUUCCGCGUGUAGCAGUGAAAUGCGUAGAUAUGCGGAGGAACACCAAUGGCGAAGGCAAUCCCCUGGGCCUGUCCUGACGCUCAUGCACGAAAGCGUGGGGAGCAAACAGG